rnacentral:tRNA from 1 species
AGGGGUAUAGCUGAGUGGUAGAGCAUGUGCUUAGCAUGCAUAAGGUCUGUGUUCAAUCCCCAGUACCUCCA